CGAAGGGCGUAGCGUUGUUCGGAAUUACUGGGCGUAAAGCGCACGUAGGCGGAUUGUUAAGUUAGGGUGGAAAUCCCGGGGCUCAACCCCGGAACUGCCUUUAAUACUGGCGAUCUAGAGUCCGAGAGAGGUGAGUGGAAUUCCGAGUGUAGAGGUGAAAUUCGUAGAUAUUCGGAGGAACACCAGUGGCGAAGGCGGCUCACUGGCUCGGUACUGACGCUGAGGUGCGAAAGCGUGGGGAGCAAACAGGAUU
rnacentral:rRNA from 1 species